rnacentral:rRNA from 1 species
UACGUAGGGUGCAAGCGUUAAUCGGAAUUACUGGGCGUAAAGCGUGCGCAGGCGGUCUGCUAAGGGAGGUGUGAAAUCCCCCGGGCUUAACCUGGGAACUGCGCUUCUAACUGGCAGGCUUGAGUGUGGCAGAGGGGGGGUGGAAUUCCACGUGUAGCAGUGAAAUGCGUAGAGAUGUGGAGGAACACCGAUGGCGAAGGCAGCCCCUGGGUCAAGAUUGACGCUCAUGCACGAAAGCGUGGGGAGCAAACAGG